UAGGGAAUCUUCCGCAAUCGGCGAAAGCCUGACGGAGCAACGCCGCGUGAGUGAUGAAGGUCCUCGGAUCGUAAAACUCUGUUAUUAGGGAAGAACAAAUGUGUAAGUAACUAUGCACGUCUUGACGGUACCUAAUCAGAAAGCCACGGCUAACUACGUGCCAGCAGCCGCGGUAAUACGUAGGUGGCAAGCGUUAUCCGGAAUUAUUGGGCGUAAAGCGCGCGUAGGCGGUUUUUUAAGUCUGAUGUGAAAGCCCACGGAUCAACCGUGGAGGGUCAUUGGAAACUGGAAAACUUGAGUGCAGAAGAGGAAAGUGGAAUUCCAUGUGUAGCGGUGAAAUGCGCAGAGAUAUGGAGGAACACCAGUGGCGAAGGCGACUUUCUGGUCUGUAACUGACGCUGAUGUGCGAAAGCGUGGGGAUCAAACAGG
rnacentral:rRNA from 1 species